UUGAAAGAUUCUUCGAAUCUGCUUCAGAGAAUUCGGAUCUUCAACUUAAACUCAGAGAGCAGGGGAAUAUAUUCUUCCUUCAUUUACUAGGAUGUGACACUAAUGGUCACACUAAUAAACCCGGAAGUAGAGAGUACAAGGAGAAUAUACUAGUUGUUGAUGCUGGGGUGGAUCGUGUUGUUCAGUCUAUAGAGAGAUAUUACCGAGAAGACCAGCACAC